rnacentral:rRNA from 1 species
GAUGAACGCUGGCGGCGUGCCUAAUACAUGCAAGUCGAGCGAACAGACCAGUAGCUUGCUCCUCUGACGUUAACGGCGGACGGAAGAGUAACAUAUCCAUCCCCUACCUAUAAGACUGGGAUAACUUCCGGAAACCGGAGCUAAUACCGGAUAAUAUAUUGAACCGCAUGGUUCAAUAGUGACAGCGGUUUUUGCUGUCCCUUAUACAUGGAUCCGGGCCGCAUUAGUUAGUUGGUAGGAUAACGGCUUCCCCAGGCGACGAUGCGUAGCCGACCUGCGAGGGUGAACGGCCACUCUGGGAGUGAGACACGGUACAGACACCGACGGGAGGCAGCGGCAGGGAAGCGUGCGAAAUGGGCGAAAGACUGACGGAGCAACGCAGCGUGGAUGAUGAAGGUCCUCGGAUCGUAAAACUCUGUUAGUGUUGAAGAACAAAUGUGGAAGGAACUAUGCACGUCGUGACGGUACCUAAAGAAGAAGCAACGGCUAACUACGUG